UACGGGGGGGGCAAGCGUUGUUCGGAAUUACUGGGCGUAAAGGGCUCGUAGGCGGCCAACUAAGUCGGACGUGAAAGCCCCGGGCUUAACCUGGGAAUGGCAUUGGAAACUGGCUCGCUGGAGUGUGGCAGAGGGGGGUGGAAUUCCGCGUGUAGCAGUGAAAUGCGUAGAGAUGCGGAGGAACACCGAUGGCGAAGGCAGCCCCCUGGGCUAACACUGACGCUCAGGCACGAAAGCGUGGGGAGUAAACAGG
rnacentral:rRNA from 1 species